UCGCAUAUGAUGAGAUAUACUCGGAUUCCCCUUCACGACAUCAUGGAUGAUGUGAACUCGAGUUUCUGAUGCG